GAUGAAGAACGCAGUGAAAUGCGAUAAGUAAUGUGAAUUGCAGAAUUCAGUGAAUCAUCGAAUCUUUGAACGCACAUUGCGCCCCUUGGUAUUCCGAGGGGCAUGCCUGUUCGAGCGUCAUUUCAACCCCUCAAGCUUAGCUUGGUGUUGGGCUGCGCCAGCGUUGCUGGCGGGCCUUAAAAUCAGUGGCGGUGCCGUUUGGGCUCCAAGCGUAGUAGCAUCUCUCGCUCUGGAGACCCGGCGGUUGCUUGCCAGACAAUCACUAAAAAAACAAAAGGUUUGACCUCGGAUCAGGUAGGGAUACCCGCUGAACUUAAGCAUAUCAAUAAGCGGAGGA
rnacentral:misc_RNA from 1 species